rnacentral:rRNA from 1 species
UAUCAAAAAAUAUAUUAAUUUUAAAUUAUCCUAAAUGUAAAAAGACAUUUAUAAUAAAGAAAGACGACAAGACCCUAUAGAACUUAACUAUAGUUAAACUGGGGCAGUUAAUUAAUUAAAAUUUUAAUUUAAUAAUAAAAUUUAUCUUAACCUAAUAUUAUUAACAAUAUGACUAAGUUACCUUAGGGAUAACAGCGUAAUAUAAUUUUUAAGAUCUUAUUUAAAAUUAAGUUUACGACCUCGAUGUUGAUUUAAUUUUCCUAAAAUAACGCAAUAGUUAUAAAAGGAAGUCUGUUCGACUUUUAAAAAAUUACAACGUGAGUGUUCAGAUCGGUGUAAC